GGCUGACAACAUGCAUGCAGGUCGGUUGAGGCAGUGGUGGGAAAGCUACGGCCCGCCGGCCAUUUUAGGCCCACCGUGCAGCUCUAAUAAAUGAAGAAAUAAAUAAAACGUACUAAACAAAAUAGCAGUGAGACUUUAACGAAAGGAUGAGCAAGUAAUCCAAUUCAUCAAUAUCACCGUUUUCAAAUUGCAACGGUUGCAAUUUUGAAAACAUCUACAUUGUCAGUGUCUAGGAUAGAUUAGUGCUGAAGAAGUGUAGUCCACAUGUCUACUUAUCAUUCAGUGUUCCAUGAAAGAUGUAAGUGGAAACGCCACAUAUUUGGUUGCAUUAUUGUUGGAAACAGACCUAUAACUGACUUAUGUUUAUACCACACUUGUUUGGUAGCAUUUUAUGAAGUUGGAGUGAACACUCAAAAGACAAGUCAAAGUCUUUAGUGAGUGAACACCUCGGAUUGAAGUAGAUGAAGAAAAUGACAUAUGAUAGUUUAUUUUACUACAGUUUAAUUCUUUGCUUUUUUUAAUGCACCAGUCGAGUAACUUAAAGUACUCACAUAUUACAUUUUUUUUGGAUUCGUAUUUUGUUGUCACAUCAACAUCAAACAUAGAUGUUUUUAAUUUAUGUUUGUGAUUGAUUGUAGGAGUUUUAAAGUUAGGUUUCCCAAAACAACUUUUCCUCAACAGCACAAUGCAAGGGACAUUAAACGCUUUUGGACUUGCAUGACAAAACAGAGUCCGUUACUUCAGUUCCAAUUUCGGGGUGACUUCAGUGCAUAUUUAAAAAAAACAUAUUUAUAGUUUGAGUUGUUAUGUUUGCGCCCAACAACACUUGUGUGUUUGCAUCUUAAAUUGAAGAUAUGGCCCACAAAAACAGCAACGGACAAACAACAUGUUGUCUAAUUGCUGUCAACUGAUUCCAUUUAGGAGAUGACAUCAAGAUGUGCCUUAUCCAAGAAAUCAUUUCCCUCUCGUUGCUGGCAUUCUACAUUCAACAUAGUUUCCCCACAUAAGUUGCUGAUUGUCAGGCUGAAGUUAAUGUAAUAGGCACAAAAGUGGUACGUUAGGCAACAUGGAGUUUGCAUUUAGUCCAACAUACUUUGUAUGUCCAGCUUUUUAUUUGUCUGAAGUCGCCAAAUCAAUACCAUUCUGAUGUAUACUUGUUUUUUAAACCUUGUUAUUCAAUUGACAAAUUCAGUUUUGAAAUGC